rnacentral:rRNA from 1 species
UACGUAGGGUGCAAGCGUUAAUCGGAAUUACUGGGCGUAAAGCGUGCGCAGGCGGUUGUGUAAGUCAGAUGUGAAAUCCCCGGGCUCAACCUGGGAAUUGCAUUUGAGACUGCACGGCUAGAGUGUGUCAGAGGGGGGUAGAAUUCCACGUGUAGCAGUGAAAUGCGUAGAGAUGUGGAGGAAUACCGAUGGCGAAGGCAGCCCCCUGGGAUGAUACUGACGCUCAUGCACGAAAGCGUGGGGAGCAAACAGG